CCUACGGGGUGCAGCAGUGGGGAAUAUUGCACAAUGGGGGAAACCCUGAUGCAGCGACGCCGCGUGAAGGAAGAAGUAUUUCGGUAUGUAAACUUCUAUCAGCAGGGAAGAAAAUGACGGUACCUGACUAAGAAGCCCCGGGUAACUACGGUCCAGCAGCCGCGGUAAUACGUAGGGGGCAAGCGUUAUCCGGAUUUACUGGGUGUAAAGGGAGCGGAGGCGGUUUAGCAAGGCAGAAGUGAAAGCCCGGGGCGAAAAUCGGGGACUGCUUUUGAUAUUGUUGAACUAGAUUGCAGGAGAGGUAAGUUGAAGUCCUAGUGUAGCGGUGAAAUGCGUAGAUAUUAGGAGGAACACCAGUGGCGAAGGCGGCUUACUGGACUGUAAAUGACGCUGAGGCUCGAAAGCGUGGGGAGCAAACAGGAUUAGAUACCCGGGUAGUC
rnacentral:rRNA from 1 species